rnacentral:sRNA from 1 species
AUGAAGCCAUUUGAGAUUCUCCUUGUCUUCCUCGUUCAUA